UCCCUGGUGGUCCAGAAGUUAGAACCUGGCACUUUCACUGCCGGGGCCUGGGUUCAAUCCCAGGUCGGGGAA
rnacentral:tRNA from 1 species